rnacentral:rRNA from 1 species
GUGCCAGCAGCCGCGGUAAUACGUAGGGCGCGAGCGUUGUCCGGAAUUAUUGGGCGUAAAGAGCUCGUAGGCGGUUUGUCGCGUCUGCUGUGAAAACGCAAGGCUUAACCUUGCGCCUGCAGUGGGUACGGGCAGACUAGAGUGCGGUAGGGGAGACUGGAAUUCCUGGUGUAGCGGUGGAAUGCGCAGAUAUCAGGAGGAACACCGACGGCGAAGGCAGGUCUCUGGGCCGUUACUGACGCUGAGGAGCGAAAGCAUGGGGAGCGAACAGGAUUAGA